GAUGAACGCUAGCGGCAGGCUUAAUACAUGCAAGUCGAACGGCAGCAUGCACUUCGGUGUGAUGGCGAGUGGCGCACGGGUGAGUAACGCGUACAGAAUCUACCUUUUACAGGGGGAAAGUCGCUGGAAACGGCGAAUAAUCCCGCAUAAGACUACAGCAUCGCAUGGUGCAGGAGUUAAAGCUACGGCGGUAAAAGAUGAUUGUGCGUUCCAUUAGCUAGAUGGUAAGGUAACGGCUUACCAUGGCGACGAUGGGUAGGGGGCGUGAGAGCGUGAUCCCCCACACGGGUACUGAGACACGGACCCGACUCCUACGGGAGGCAGCAGUAAGGAAUAUUGGACAAUGGAGGGAACUCUGAUCCAGCCAUGCCGCGUGUAUGAAGAAGGCCCUAUGGGUUGUAAAGUACUUUUAUCUAGGAAGAAUGGCCGUCAUUUAUGAUGGACGAGACGGUACUAGAGGAAUAAGCACCGGCUAACUCCG
rnacentral:rRNA from 1 species